CAGAAAAACUUUUUUCGACUCAACCGUCGUUACCCAGACGACCUUCCGAAGAAAUCAGAUGCCAGGGAUUUACCAUCUGUAAGAGCUAACUUCUUGGCGCAAGAGCAGGCUCGAGCCAUUGAUGAAUUCUACAGCAAGGGAGCAUCGAACAACAGACUUCAGAGAAGCUUCAGUUUGCCUCCGAUUAGAAAGUGGUCUCUGCAAACAGAGCGUCUCAAAUCACCAUACAGCCGAGACUUAAUGGAGAAGAAUUAUAAGGUGAGCGAGUGAUAAGAAAAU
rnacentral:sRNA from 1 species